rnacentral:rRNA from 1 species
GACGAACGCUGGCGGCGUGCUUAACACAUGCAAGUCGAACGGAGAGGCCCUGCUUUUGUGGGGUGCUCGAGUGGCGAACGGGUGAGUAACACGUGAGUAACCUGCCCUUGACUUUGGGAUAACUUCAGGAAACUGGGGCUAAUACCGGAUAGGAGCUCCUGCUGCAUGGUGGGGGUUGGAAAGUUUCGGCGGUUGGGGAUGGACUCGCGGCUUAUCAGCUUGUUGGUGGGGUAGUGGCUUACCAAGGCUUUGACGGGUAGCCGGCCUGAGAGGGUGACCGGCCACAUUGGGACUGAGAUACGGCCCAGACUCCUACGGGAGGCAGCAGUGGGGAAUAUUGCACAAUGGGCGGAAGCCUGAUGCAGCAACGCCGCGUGCGGGAUGACGGCCUUCGGGUUGUAAACCGCUUUCGCCUGUGACGAAGCGUGAGUGACGGUAAUGGGUAAAGAGGCACCGGCUAACUACGUG